rnacentral:rRNA from 1 species
UACGAAGGGGGCUAGCGUUGCUCGGAAUCACUGGGCGUAAAGCGCACGUAGGCGGAUUGCUAAGUCAGGGGUGAAAUCCUGGAGCUCAACUCCAGAACUGCCUUUGAUACUGGCGACCUUGAGUCCGGGAGAGGUGAGUGGAACUGCGAGUGUAGAGGUGAAAUUCGUAGAUAUUCGCAAGAACACCCGUGGCGAAGGCGGCUCACUGGGCCGGUCCUGACGCUGAGACGCGAAGGCGUGGGGAGCGAACGGG